AGAGUUUGAUCCUGGCUCAGAACGAACGCUGGCGGCGUGCCUAACACAUGCAAGUCGUACGAGAAAUCCUGGGCAACUGGGAGAGUAAAGUGGCGCACGGGUGAGUAACGCGUGGGUAACCUACCCUUGAAUUGGGGAUAACUCUUCGAAAGGGGAGUUAAUACCGAAUAAUAUUCCGAUUCCUAUGGGAGUCGAAAUCAAAGGUGGCCUCUGCAUGCAAGCUAUCAUUUAAGGAUGGGCCCGCGUACCAUUAGCUCGUUGGUAGGGUAACGGCCUACCAAGGCAACGAUGGUUAGCUGGUCUGAGAGGAUGGCCAGCCACACUGGAACUGAGACACGGUCCAGACUCCUACGGGAGGCAGCAGUGGGGAAUCUUGCGCAAUGGGGGAAACCCUGACGCAGUAACGCCGCGUGGGUGAUGAAGGCUUUCGGGUCGUAAAGCCCUGUCAGGUGGGAAGAACCAUGUCGAUGUGAAUACCAUCGGCAUCUGACGGUACCACCGGAGGAAGCACCGGCUAACUCCGUGCCAGCAGCCGCGGUAAUACGGAGGGUGCAAGCGUUGUUCGGAAUUAUUGGGCGUAAAGCGCGUGUAGGUGGUUGGGUAAGUCAGAUGUGAAAGCCCUCAGCUUAACUGGGGAAGUGCAUUUGAAACUGCUUGGCUAGAGUCCGGGAGAGGAGAGUGGAAUUCCCGGUGUAGAGGUGAAAUUCGUAGAUAUCGGGAGGAACACCAGUGGCGAAGGCGGCUCUCUGGCCCCGAUACUGACACUGAGACGCGAAAGCGUGGGUAGCAAAACAGGAUUA
rnacentral:rRNA from 1 species